rnacentral:rRNA from 1 species
GCGUGAGUGAAGAAGGCCUUAGGGUCGUAAAGCUCUUUCGCCUGUGAUGAUAAUGACAGUAUCUGGUAAAGAAACCCCGGCUAACUCCGUGCCAGCAGCCGCGGUAAUACGGAGGGGGUUAGCGUUGUUCGGAAUUACUGGGCGUAAAGCGCGCGUAGGCGGACUAGUCAGUCAGGGGUGAAAUCCCGGGGCUCAACCCCGGAACUGCCUUUGAUACUGCUAGUCUAGAGUUCGAGAGAGGUGAGUGGAAUUCCGAGUGUAGAGGUGAAAUUCGU